GGUCUCGUGGUCUAGUUGGUUAUGACACAUGCUUAACAAACUUAAGCACGCAUGUGGUCCCCGGUUCGAUCCCGGGCGAGAUCA
rnacentral:tRNA from 1 species